rnacentral:rRNA from 1 species
ACAACGAAGAGUUUGAUCCUGGCUCAGGAUGAACGCUAGCGACAGGCCUAACACAUGCAAGUCGAGGGGCAGCACAUGAGUAGCAAUACGAUGGUGGCGACCGGCGCACGGGUGAGUAACACGUAUGCAACCUGCCUUCUACUAUGGGAUAACCCGUUGAAAAACGGACUAAUACCGUAUAAUACAGGGGCUCCGCAUGGAGAUAUUUGUUAAAGAUUAAUUGGUAGAAGAUGGGCAUGCGUAUGAUUAGAUAGUUGGUGAGGUAACGGCUCACCAAGUCAACGAUCAUUAGGGGUUCUGAGAGGAAGGUCCCCCACACUGGUACUGAGACACGGACCAGACUCCUACGGGAGGCAGCAGUGAGGAAUAUUGGUCAAUGGACGAGAGUCUGAACCAGCCAAGUCGCGUGAAGGAAGACGGUUCUAUGAAUUGUAAACUUCUUUUGUACAGGAAUAAAGUGGAUUACGUGUAAUCUUUUGUAUGUACUGUACGAAUAAGGAUCGGCUAACUCCGUGCCAGCAGCCGCGGUAAUACGGAGGAUCCGAGCGUUAUCCGGAUUUAUUGGGUUUAAAGGGUGCGUAGGUGGAUUGAUAAGUCAGUGGUGAAAGUUUGCAGCUUAACUGUAAAAUUGCCGUUGAAACUGUCGGUCUUGAGUGCAAAUGAGGUAGGCGGAAUGUGUUGUGUAGCGGUGAAAUGCUUAGAUAUAACACAGAACUCCGAUUGCGAAGGCAGCUUACUGGGAUGCAACUGACACUGAUGCACGAAAGCGUGGGUAUCAAACAGGAUUAGAUACCCUGGUAGUCCACGCAGUAAACGAUGAAUACUAGCUGUAUGCGAUACACCGUAUGUGGCACAGCGAAAGCGUUAAGUAUUCCACCUGGGGAGUACGUUCGCAAGAAUGAAACUCAAAGGAAUUGACGGGGGCCCGCACAAGCGGAGGAACAUGUGGUUUAAUUCGAUGAUACGCGAGGAACCUUACCCGGGCUUGAAAUGCAGAAGACGGAUCGGGAAACCGAUUUUCCAGCAAUGGCUUCUGUGUAGGUGCUGCAUGGUUGUCGUCAGCUCGUGCCGUGAGGUGUCGGCUUAAGUGCCAUAACGAGCGCAACCCUUGCCAAUAGUUACUAUCAGGUAAUGCUGAGGACUCUAUUGGGACUGCCAUCGUAAGAUGCGAGGAAGGUGGGGAUGACGUCAAAUCAGCACGGCCCUUACGUCCGGGGCGACACACGUGUUACAAUGGGGAGUACAGAGGGUUGCUACCUGGUGACAGGAUGCUAAUCUCUUAAAUCUUCUCUCAGUUCGGAUCGAAGUCUGCAACUCGACUUCGUGAAGCUGGAUUCGCUAGUAAUCGCGCAUCAGCCAUGGCGCGGUGAAUACGUUCCCGGGCCUUGUACACACCGCCCGUCAAGCCAUGGAAGCCGAGGGUACCUGAAGUACGUGACUGUAAAGAGCGUCCUAGGGUAAAAUUGGUGACUGGGGCUAAGUCGUAACAAGGUAGCCGUACCGGAAGGUGCGGCUGGAACACCUCCUUU